rnacentral:rRNA from 1 species
GUGCCAGCCCCCGCGGUAAUACGUAGGUGGCAAGCGUUGUCCGGAUUUAUUGGGCGUAAAGCGAGCGCAGGCGGUUUUUUAAGUCUGAUGUGAAAGCCUUCGGCUCAACCGAAGAAGUGCAUCGGAAACUGGGAAACUUGAGUGCAGAAGAGGACAGUGGAACUCCAUGUGUAGCGGUGAAAUGCGUAGAUAUAUGGAAGAACACCAGUGGCGAAGGCGGCUGUCUGGUCUGUAACUGACGCUGAGGCUCGAAAGUAUGGGUAGCAAACAGGAUUAGAUACCCUGGUAGUCCAUACCGUAAACGAUGAAUGCUAAGUGUUGGAGGGUUUCCGCCCUUCAGUGCUGCAGCUAACGCAUUAAGCAUUCCGCCUGGGGAGUACGGCCGCAAGGCUGAAACUCAAAGGAAUUGACGGGGGCCCGCACAAGCGGUGGAGCAUGUGGUUUAAUUCGAAGCUACGCGAAGAACCUUACCAGGUCUUGACAUACUAUGCAAAUCUAAGAGAUUAGACGUUCCCUUCGGGGACAUGGAUACAGGUGGUGCAUGGUUGUCGUCAGCUCGUGUCGUGAGAUGUUGGGUUAAGUCCCGCAACGAGCGCAACCCUUAUUAUCAGUUGCCAGCAUUAAGUUGGGCACUCUGGUGAGACUGCCGGUGACAAACCGGAGGAAGGUGGGGAUGACGUCAAAUCAUCAUGCCCCUUAUGACCUGGGCUACACACGUGCUACAAUGGAUGGUACAACGAGUUGCGAACUCGCGAGAGUAAGCUAAUCUCUUAAAGCCAUUCUCAGUUCGGAUUGUAGGCUGCAACUCGCCUACAUGAAGUCGGAAUCGCUAGUAAUCGCGGAUCAGCAUGCCGCGGUGAAUACGUUCCCGGGCCUUGUACACACCGCCCGU